CAGGCUUGUUGCCUUCCUUUCACUGUUGGGAGUCCACAGAGAGGCACACAUUCAGGGAACAGACCUCCUUCCAAUGGUGGAUAUGGCGGUGUUCUUGUUCUUUCUUCUAAGCAGUUUGAUUCUUCUGAUCUUGGAUCACAAUCAGUUGAAAGGCUCUUUGAAACGAUCUGAACUGCUCACUAAGCCCCAGAGGUUUUUCCUUCAAAUUGAUUUUUUUGCCAACUUUAUUUGUGGACUCAUGUGGUUGGUUUUUCCAGGAUGGCUACAUGGGUCACAGAUUAAUGGAUCUGAGGAUCAUCUUUAUCUCACUCGGGCAUUCGGAGCCAUGAUGGUCGGAGACAGCUUUGUUUCUUUUACUACUCAGAAGCAAAUGGGAACCUGCGAGGUAUCUGUCUUCAGCAGCCGGGCUGUGGUAUGUCAUAUCAUCAAAACAUAUUACAACUGUUAACACUGAUUUUACUCCAUGAUGAUUACAUAUCCUUUUGUGUUCAAAAACAAGAUAA